GGUUGUUGUCGUAGUAACGGCAGAAGAGGCGGCUCUGCCUGCGAGGAGUCUGAUAGAGAGACGCAGCAGAGAUGUUUAUCUAACAGGUAAUCGUCAGGUUGAUCUCGGGUUUCCCUCUUCUUCCUCCCGCCGGCCUCCUCCUCCUCCUCCGUCUCCUCCGCCUUCUUCUGUUUCUCCAGCUGGUACUCGAAGUACUUCAGGUUCCCGUUGGCUCGCUGGUGGGCCGGGUCUGACCGCCAACACACAAGCAGAACGCCAGGUCAGCGAGGCGGGAAGGUCGAGGGGAGUAAAUUCAUCCUGAUAUCAAAGCUUCUAACUGGCUAAAACAUCCUCAGAGUGACACGAGGAGUAAAAAGCAUCUUAUGAACUUUUUUGAUAUUUAGGAGCUGCAGAGUCGCGACCGGUUCAGGUUCAGAGAUAAACGUUAGGACGCCCGCAGAGAGAGAGAGAGAGAGAGAGAGAGAGAGAGAGAGAGAGAGAGAGAGAGAGAGGACUAAAACUGAACUUCAUCACAACAGCUGCAGCUUCAGGUGGAUCAAUCGAUUAUCGGCCGACUAUUCUGAUAAUUGAUGAAUCAUUUUGGGUCAAUUUUAAGAAGAAGAAGCAGCUUCUG